GCCCGAAGACGCCCCCAGACUGCCCAGGUGAACAGAACGGAGCUGGAGAUAUUUCCGGAUCUUCUAGUGUGAUCGGUGGUGUUUUCUCCAUCUCAUCAUGGCGUAGCAAGAGUUGCUCUCUGUGUUCUGACGACGCAACCGUGCAGCGUGCCAGCGUCGAGCUAACCGAAGUUCUAAUACUCGCCACAAAGAUUCUAGACAAUGCGACAGAAGAGGAAGACGUGGCGUUUGGGUAUAGCAUCGACGACGACUCCUGCGGGAAUCAUCGAACUGCCGAGUGCAUACAGAGUCUGACUCCGACUAGAUCUACUCUGGCGACUUUUGUCGGUCCUUACUACGCGAACGAGACGGAGCAGGGCAUUCUCUACAAGCAUCUCAACGGAUUUCCUCUUCAUGAUGACAAGGGAAUUUUUCUCUUCCCUAUGUGCCUUCUCGUACCUAACAGGCGUACAGUAAUUUCUGGAACGCUGGUGACGCAUGCGGUAUGGCUUCUUUACGUCUCUUCAAGCAAGAACUGUUGCGCAGAAAUAUCUUUUGCCAUUUUCAAUGAACAUGCGUAGGACAGUUCGACGAGCCGACACUUACAUCAACAUAUUUGAGGGGUUCCAGAACUGACCGAGAAACGAGAUUACAUGUUUUCAUUAGAAGCGGACGUAGCCAAAGCGAUCGAAGGCGUCGUCGUCGAGCCGCAGAGGAUCGAACUCAUAGAAAACGUCGGAUGCGGUAACUUUGGCAAGGUUUACAAGGCAUUCUAGACGGUAACCAGACUGUGGCCGUCAAGUCGGUUCUAGGGGGUCGCUGCCGUCGAUAGGCAACCUGUCAGAAACACAAAUCAGCUUUAUCUGGCAGAGUUACGUCAAGCUAUGGUAACAUUUCCAUGAUAUCAUGUGAGAACAACUUUGUACAUACGGGUACAGCAUUUUGUAAAGAAUAAUCUCAAAUCCUGAUAUGACUAACUACAGUUGCUGACGUUAUGAUAAUUCAGGAAGUCACUACUUUUAUUCAUUUUCAGUGAGCUAAUAUUCUUAUCCUCAUUUACAUGUAACAUUUACCUCUUUUGCUUAAAGCUUGUUUUAAUUAGAUCAGUCAGUUGGAUAAUCAGACAAAAGUCAAUAAUUUUAGGUGUCAGUCUGUGUAACUAAUGCAUGAACUAGCCACUGGCAGCUAACAAUUGUAGUUGGUUGUCAUCUAAAAAUUCAUUGCCAUAGGCACUAAAAUAGUCACCAUUCUGAA